CCUACGGGUGGCAGCAGUGGGGAAUAUUGCACAAUGGGCGCAAGCCUGAUGCAGCCAUGCCGCGUGUGUGAAGAAGGCCUUCGGGUUGUAAAGCACUUUCAGCGGGGAGGAAGGCGGUGAGGUUAAUAACCUCAUCGAUUGACGUUACCCGCAGAAGAAGCACCGGCUAACUCCGUGCCAGCAGCCGCGGUAAUACGGAGGGUGCCAGCGUUAAUCGGAAUUACUGGGCGUAAAGCGCACGCAGGCGGUCUGUCAAGUCGGAUGUGAAAUCCCCGGGCUCAACCUGGGAACUGCAUUCGAAACUGGCAGGCUAGAGUCUUGUAGAGGGGGGUAGAAUUCCAGGUGUAGCGGUGAAAUGCGUAGAGAUCUGGAGGAAUACCGGUGGCGAAGGCGGCCCCCUGGACAAAGACUGACGCUCAGGUGCGAAAGCGUGGGGAGCAAACAGGAUUAGAUACCCCUGUAGUC
rnacentral:rRNA from 1 species